rnacentral:rRNA from 1 species
UACGAAGGGUGCUAGCGUUGCUCGGAAUCACUGGGCGUAAAGCGCACGUAGGCGGCUCUUUAAGUCAGGGGUGAAAUCCCGGAGCUCAACUCCGGAACUGCCUUUGAUACUGGCGAUCUCGAGUCCGGGAGAGGUGAGUGGAACUGCGAGUGUAGAGGUGAAAUUCGUAGAUAUUCGCAAGAACACCAGUGGCGAAGGCGGCUCACUGGCCCGGUACUGACGCUGAGGUGCGAAAGCGUGGGGAGCAAACAGG